rnacentral:rRNA from 1 species
CCUACGGGAGGCAGCAGUAGGGAAUAUUGGGCAAUGGGCGAAAGCCUGACCCAGCGACGCCGCGUGAGGGAUGAAGGUCUUCGGAUUGUAAACCUCUUUCAGUAGGGAAGAAGCGAAAGUGACGGUACCUAAAGAAGAAGCACCGGCUAACUAUGUGCCAGCAGCCGCGGUAAUACAUAGGGUGCAAGCGUUGUCCGGAAUUAUUGGGCGUAAAGAGCUCGUAGGUCGUUUGUCGCGUCGAUUGUGAAAAUCUGAGGCUCAACCUCAGACCUGCAGUCGAUACGGGCAAACUAGAGUGUGGUAGGGGAGACUGGAAUUCCCGGUGUAGCGGUGGAAUGCGCAGAUAUCAGGAGGAACACCGAUGGCGAAGGCAGGUCUCUGGGCCAAUACUGACACUGAGGAGCGAAAGCGUGGGGAGCGAACAGGAUUAGAUACCCUGGUAGUCCACGCCGUAAACGGUGGGCGCUAGUUGUGCGAACCUUCCACGGUUUGUGCGACGCAGCUAACGCAUUAAGCGCCCCGCCUGGGGAGUACGAUCGCAAGAUUAAAACUCAAAGGAAUUGACGG